rnacentral:rRNA from 1 species
UACAGAGGUCUCAAGCGUUGUUCGGAUUCAUUGGGCGUAAAGGGUGCGUAGGUGGUGGGGUAAGUCGGAUGUGAAAUCCCGGGGCUCAACCCCGGAACUGCAUUCGAUACUGCCUUGCUCGAGUACCUGGAGAGGAGACUGGAAUUUACGGUGUAGCAGUGAAAUGCGUAGAUAUCGUAAGGAAGACCAGUGGCGAAGGCGGGUCUCUGGGCCGAUACUGACGCUGAGGAGCGAAAGCGUGGGGAGCGAACAGG